GACGAACGCUGGCGGCGUGCCUAAUACAUGCAAGUUGAGCGCUGAAGGUUGGUACUUGUACCGACUGGAUGAGCAGCGAACGGGUGAGUAACGCGUGGGGAAUCUGCCUUUGAGCGGGGGACAACAUUUGGAAACGAAUGCUAAUACCGCAUAAAAACUUUAAACACAAGUUUUAAGUUUGAAAGAUGCAAUUGCAUCACUCAAAGAUGAUCCCGCGUUGUAUUAGCUAGUUGGUGAGGUAAAGGCUCACCAAGGCGAUGAUACAUAGCCGACCUGAGAGGGGGAUCGGCCACAUUGGGACUGAGACACGGCCCAAAGUCCUACGGGAGGCAGCAGUAGGGAAUCUUCGGCAAUGGACGAAAGUCUGACCGAGCAACGCCGCGUGAGUGAAGAAGGUUGUCGGAUCGUAAAACUCUGUUGGUAGAGAAGAACGUUGGUGAGAGUGGAAAGCUCAUCAAGUGACGGUAACUACCCAGAAAGGGACGGCUAACUACGUG
rnacentral:rRNA from 1 species